rnacentral:rRNA from 1 species
GAUGAACGCUGGCGGCGUGCCUAAUACAUGCAAGUCGAGCGAACAGACGAGGAGCUUGCUCCUCUGACGUUAGCGGCGGACGGGUGAGUAACACGUGGAUAACCUACCUAUAAGACUGGGAUAACUUCGGGAAACCGGAGCUAAUACCGGAUAAUAUAUUGAACCGCAUGGUUCAAUAGUGAAAGACGGUUUUGCUGUCACUUAUAGAUGGAUCCGCGCCGCAUUAGCUAGUUGGUAAGGUAACGGCUUACCAAGGCAACGAUGCGUAGCCGACCUGAGAGGGUGAUCGGCCACACUGGAACUGAGACACGGUCCAGACUCCUACGGGAGGCAGCAGUAGGGAAUCUUCCGCAAUGGGCGAAAGCCUGACGGAGCAACGCCGCGUGAGUGAUGAAGGUCUUCGGAUCAUAAAACUCUGUUAUUAGGGAAGAACAAAUGUGUAAGUAACUAUGCACGUCUUGACGGUAACUAAUCAGAAAGCCACGGCUAACUACGU